rnacentral:misc_RNA from 1 species
UGGUCAAGUGAUAGCAGCUCAGGUGUGUUGCUGUGUGUACACGUGUGUGCUUGGACUAUAAUUCGUGCUCUUGAUUAAACAAAAAUUAUACAUGAGCUUAUAAGCCUUACAGAAACCAAGUCUCUUUAAGGCCUCAGAAUUGCUUUGUGACAUACAAUUUUUCUUUUUCCUUACAAAACAUUUCAUAAAUGUUAGCAUCUUGCGUGCACUCUUAAAAUUCUCAGAUAGAAUAGCAUAUGCAACAGGCUUCCAAAUUGAUAAUUAUUGUAAUUGUAGUAUAAAUAUAAACAUCAUUCAAAUUAAGUAAGCUCCCGUGGCUGGUGAUAUAAAAGAACUUCCAGUUACACCUUAGAAAAUCUUUACCUGCUUGGAAUUUUGGUAAUGGCUGCCUGACCUUUUUUGUGAACAAACUGUGUGCUCAUUGAGAUCUUUUUCCAAACUCUUAUUUCGUGGAUAAUUUUUGGCUUCACAGCCUAAUGUUGGGCUGUUCACGACUUGAAUCAAUGCAACUGACCCUUCUGGCCUGAAAGUGAGCCAACCUGAUAUUUCAGUUUGAAUCACAAGAUUGGGUCGAGACAGUUGAUCUACUUUUAAAAACGCUUUUUGUUGUUCAGUUAUUAAAAUUAUCAGUGAAUACCCAAGAAACCAUCAUUUUUUCAGUUGUCUGGCUGCGUGUCUCUACGAUCUGAUACCCUCGAGCUUGCUAUGGCUAACGUCCAAAGAAUUCUAGCCUUGCCAUCGAUGUCCCAGAUAUCAUUGAAUCGCACUAAGCCAUUCUAAGAAUUCCUUGUUUCUCUCCUUCUCUCCAAAAGCCACCAGAUCUUUAACUCUCUCUCCUCUUUUUAGCUAUGAAUUCUUGCCCACCUUGUAUUUUCUGCUUGCCAAGCUCAAAAGCCUACGUGCUCAGAUCCUCUCCUGCUCAGUAUGUGCUUUCCUCCCUCUCUUCUUUUUAUCUCUGUUUGUGUGUAUUCA